ACUCGAGUGGCGAACGGGUGAGUAACACGUGGGUGAUCUGCCCUGCACUUCGGGAUAAGCCUGGGAAACUGGGUCUAAUACCGAAUAGGAGCCAUUUUUAGUGUGAUGGUUGGAAAGUUUUUCGGUGUAGGAUGAGCUCGCGGCCUAUCAGCUUGUUGGUGGGGUAAUGGCCUACCAAGGCGGCGACGGGUAGCCGGCCUGAGAGGGUGGACGGCCACAUUGGGACUGAGAUACGGCCCAG
rnacentral:rRNA from 1 species